rnacentral:rRNA from 1 species
GACGAACGCUGGCGGCGUGCUUAACACAUGCAAGUCGAACGGAAAGGCCCUGCUUUUGUGGGGUGCUCGAGUGGCGAACGGGUGAGUAACACGUGAGUAACCUGCCCUUGACUUUGGGAUAACUUCAGGAAACUGGGGCUAAUACCGGAUAGGAGCUCCUGCUGCAUGGUGGGGGUUGGAAAGUUUCGGCGGUUGGGGAUGGACUCGCGGCUUAUCAGCUUGUUGGUGGGGUAGUGGCUUACCCAGGCUUUGACGGGUAGCCGGCCUGGGAGGGUGACCGGCCACAUUGGGACUGAGAUACGGCGCAGACUGCUACAGGGGGCAACGGUGGGAAGUAUUACGCAGUGGGCGGAAGCCUGAUGCGACAGCGCCGCGUGCGGGAUGACGGCCUUCGGGUUGUGAACCGCUUUCGCCUGUGACGAAGCGUGAGUGACGGUAAUGGGUAAAGAAGCACCGGCUAACUACGUG